CCUACGGGUGGCUGCAGUGGGGAAUAUUGGGCAAUGGGCGCAAGCCUGACCCAGCAACGCCGCGUGAAGGAAGAAGGCUUUCGGGUUGUAAACUUCUUUUGGCAGGGACGAAGCAAGUGACGGUACCGGACGAAUAAGCCACGGCUAACUACGUGCCAGCAGCCGCGGUAAUACGUAGGUGGCAAGCGUUCUCCGGAUUUACUGGGUGUAAAGGGCGUGUAGGCGGGACUGCAAGUCAGAUGUGAAAACCACGGGCUCAACCUGUGGCCUGCAUUUGAAACGGUAGUUCUUGAGUACUGGAGAGGCAGCCGGAAUUCCUAGUGUAGCGGUGAAAUGCGUAGAUAUUAGGAGGAACACCAGUUGCGAAGGCGGUCUGCUGGACCGCACCUGACGCUGAGGCGCGAAAGCGUGGGGAGCAAACAGGAUUAGAUACCCUAGUAGUC
rnacentral:rRNA from 1 species